GACGAACGCUGGCGGCGUGCUUAACACAUGCAAGUCGAACGCAGUGGCGAACGGGUGAGUAACGCGUAAUCAACCUGCCCUUCAGAGGGUGACAACAGUUGGAAACGACUGCUAAUCCCGCAUACUGAAGGAGGGGCUUGCGUCUGAUUAGCUAGUUGGAGGGGUAACGGCCCACCAAGGCGAGGAUCAGUCGGCUGGCUGAGAGGGUGGACGGCCAACGUGGGACUGAGACACGGCCCAGACUCCUACGGGGGGCAGCAGUGGGGAAUCUUCCGCAAUGGACGAAAGUCUGACGGAGCAACGCCGCGUGGGGGAUGACGGCCUUCGGGUUGUAAAGCUCUGUUAAUCGGGACGCGGUACCGGAAUAGAAAGCCACGGCUAACUACGUGCCAGCAGCCGCGGUAAUAC
rnacentral:rRNA from 1 species